AUUGAACGCUGGCGGCAGGCUUAACACAUGCAAGUCGAGCGGAGAUGAGGUGCUUGCACCUUAUCUUAGCGGCGGACGGGUGAGUAAUGCUUAGGAAUCUGCCUAUUAGUGGGGGACAACAUUCCGAAAGGAAUGCUAAUACCGCAUACGUCCUACGGGAGAAAGCAGGGGAUCUUCGGACCUUGCGCUAAUAGCUGAGCCUAAGUCGGAUUAGCUAGUUGGUGGGGUAAAGGCCUACCAAGGCGACGAUCUGUAGCGGGUCUGAGAGGAUGAGCCGCCACACUGGGACUGAGACACGGCCCAGACUCCUACGGGAGGCAGCAGUGGGGAAUAUUGGACAAUGGGGGAAACCCUGAUCCAGCCAUGCCGCGUGUGUGAAGAAGGCCUUAUGGUUGUAAAGCACUUUAAGCGAGGAGGGGGCUACUGAGACUAAUACUCUUGGAUAGUGGACGUUACUCGCAGAAUAAGCACCGGCUAACUCUGUGCCAGCCGCCGCCGUAA
rnacentral:rRNA from 1 species